rnacentral:rRNA from 1 species
CUCACUAGAUCUCGACCUCAGAUCAGACGUGGCAACCCGCUGAAUUUAAGCAUAUUACUAAGCGGAGGAAAAGAAACUAACAGGAUUCCCCUAGUAACUGCGAGUGAAGAGGGAAGAGCCCGCGCCGAAUCCCCGCUCGCCUGACGGGCGUGGGAAAUUGGCGUACGAAGACCUUUCUCUGACGACGCUCCGGGGCCCAAGUCCUUCUGAUCGAGGCUAGCCUGUGACGGUGUGAGGCCGGUGCGGCCCCUGGCUCGUCGGGAUCGUGUCUUCUCGGAGUCGGGUUGCUUGUGAAUGCAGCCCAAAGUGGGUGGUAAACUCCAUCUAAGGCUAAAUACCGGCACGAGACCGAUGUCAACAAGUACCGUAA